rnacentral:lncRNA from 1 species
AGGAUCCCAGGCUGCUGUGGCACAGGCGUAGGCAGGCAGCUGCACUCUGAUGUGACCUCUAGGCUGGGAACUUCCCUAAGCUUCAGGUGAGGCCCUAAAAAUCCAAAAAAAAAAAAAAAAAAGAAGUAAGAAAUAAAAAUAAAGGCAGAUGAAUAAAAAGAGGAAGACGUCUGGAGUCUGGAUGUUUUUUCUGAAGGUAAAGGGGGACUAGCUGAAAGAUUUUAAGACAGUGACACAAUUUGAUUUGUUUUUAAAAGAUCACGCUGACAGGUGGGAGGACAUCGAAUCGGGGACCACUAGGUCCCCUGCAACCACUAGAUUCAGCAAGGAAAGGAAGGUCAUUUCUUCCCUGAGUGACCAGGCUACAAACACGGAGGAGCAUGGAGAGGGGACUUCCGGUCGAGACCCAUGAGGAGGGGAGAGGAGGAAGACCAGGAAAGCCAGCACAACCUCAGCGCCAGAAGGUGGGACGAAGCGGUUUAAGAAAAUGAAAUAUUACAUGGGUCUCUUUCAGAGUCCAAAAUAGAUCUGCAACCUGGCCGUGGAGUCACUGCCAUGAUGACUCAGCAAACUGCAGUGAAUUCACUGUCACACAGACAACAGGGAGGGGCCUGGGAAACACACUCACUUAUUAUUUUGGAUUAAGACACAGGAAGACGGAAGCAUUUCUGAAACAGGUGGAGCAAGACUGGCCGAGGAGGGAGACGUCACGCGCUCACCCGCUCCCACAAACACAGGGAAAAAACGCAUCUACCUGUAAAAUGACUAGCACAGAACAUCUACCGAAUGCUGGCAGAAGACCUUACACCCCCAAAAAGGGCAAAAAAAACCCUUGACAUAAGUGGGUAGAACGAAAGAAAAAGAGAAAAGGCAUCCGGAUGGGACUAGCCUGCCCGAGAGGGAGCUGUGAAGGAGAAAAGGACCCCGCGCCCAGGGAAGCCACCUCACCGACCAGGAGAUGGGCAGAGACGGAGGGACCUCCAAGUCGGAGAAAAGCGCAGCAGCUGGGCUGAGGACAAAGCGGAGUGAGAGCCGCCCAGACCGUGCUCACCUUCGCCAGGAGGCCACAGCCUGAGAUGCUCGGGGCGGGGGCGCCGAGACUCAGGCUCCGGAGGUCAGUCCCUGGGGGAGCACUGGGCCUGGCUGUGCGGGGACAGCCUGAGGGGCCGAGGGGUAAGGAGCAGU